GAUGAAGAACGCAGCGAAAUGCGAUACGUAAUGUGAAUUGCAGAAUUCAGUGAAUCAUCGAGUCUUUGAACGCCCAUUGCGGCCCCUGGUAUUCCGGGGGGCAUGCCUGUCCGAGCGUCAUUGCUGCCCUCAAGCACGGCUUGUGUGUUGGGCCUCCGUCCUCCUCCCGGGGGACGGGCCCGAAAGGCAGCGGCGGCACCGCGUCCGGUCCUCGAGCGUAUGGGGCUUCGUCACCCGCUUUUGUAGGCCCGGCCGGCGCUUGCCGACACAUCAAUCUUUUUUCCAGGUUGACCUCGGAUCAGGUAGGGAUACCCGCUGAACUUAAGCAUAUCAAUAAGCGGAGGA
rnacentral:misc_RNA from 1 species